UCUCUGCUGCACUAAAUGGAACGGGACCUUAAUUAAUAUCAUUGGAAACACCUGUUUCCUGUUAGCAAAGUAACCAAAGACAAUUUUCAUUGAUUAACUUGCUUAAUAUAACAAAAAUGUCAUGUAUGUGCUGCUCCGCUUAUGUGAGGCUUCUUCAAAACGAAAGAAAACAAAGGUAAAAAGCCACAGUGGCGGAGAAUAGCCCCAUCGGUUGCCAUGGCGCCCAGCAGCAAUCCGUCUCAGUUGGUGUGCUUGUGCGCACUGAGGGGGAAUGAAAAAACAAGUACUCUGAUGCAGGGCUGAGGUGCUCGCCCUCUUCCUAGGGAAAUUUCCAAUGACCCCAGUCCAGGUUACAACAUAGAGCAGAUGGCUAAAAAAGGGACUCAGUACGUGGAGCUGCCGUAUACAGUAAAAGGAAUGGACGUCUCGUUUUCUGGGAUUUUAUCCUACAUCGAGCUCAGUGGAACUAUGAAUGUACAAGAAGUGCUAUCUAAAUCAUGAUUUCAUUCUCUCUGUUGUCUUUUGACAGGAAUUGAUUUCUAAAUCUGUAAAGUGUAGAAUCAAGCCUCUUCCAAACUCCACAAGAACAACAUCGACAUGUCUGGAAGGCCUGUUCUGUUUGGAGCUUUAGAUAUGAGGUGUUAAACAUCUUGACUGCCACAAGAAUUUUCUUGGUUUAUCAAUUGAUUGUUUUGGCUGUAAAAUGUCAGAAAAUGAUGAAAUCUUUAAAUGCCCUGUUUUGUCUGAUGAACAAUUCAAAACCGAAAGAUAUUCAUCUCACUGUCAUGUAUGGCAAAUUAAAAAAGAUCAAAUCCUGCCACUUCAGGGGGCUUUAAAAAUACUGCUGGUUAACUUUCUGUUGAACGUUUACUCAGCUAACUGUUGCAUGUGCAUUCUUGAAUGUUGUCAGUGUUACCCAGCAGUGACACGUCUCUCCAUGCAUGAUGAUAUUUAAACAUAUGUCAAAUGAUAGACACCCCCACUUUAACAUGCACAGGCCAGUGCUUUCAACACUUUCACAUUUGCACACACACAAAUGCACAUAGACAUUAAUUAACUACUCUAUGCACGUGCAAGACCAACAAGCUAUACACACGCACACACACACACAAACACACACACAGCUAUGUUGCUCCAUAGGAGGCAUCAACCACCGAUGGCAUCUCUCUCUGUCACACACACACACACACACACACACACACACACACACACACACACACAUCGACCAGUAUUUGUCAGCCCUGUGGUGUCCAGAAUACUGACCUCCAGUUGCCACUGCUGGAAGUCAAUAUCACUGUCAACUGAGAAACAGCAUCCGCUGUCAUGGCAACAGGAGUUAAGGCACAUACACCACAUACAUGAUAUAUCAAAUGUGAGGUGGAUGUAGCAAUUAAUUAUAUUUGUCACUUUUUGUUAUGUCUCCUGAUGACUCCUUUAACUGAACCUUUAGAGGAAGAAAUUAUUUUUUUGACCGCAAAUACUUCACCAGAGGACGUUUCAUUUGAGAAACUUGAUUGGUCUAUAUCUUGUGGUAACCAGAGUGCCAUUAGGGGGUGAUCUAUAUUGUUUUGCUCAUAUUCUUGCAUAUCAUUUUAGUUUUUCGAAAUAUAGCAACAUCUUUAAGCCUACAACUGCUUUCAUUUUGAACUUACAGUAUAAUGUCCCUUUGUCAAACUC